rnacentral:tRNA from 1 species
GGGCCCAUAGCUCAGUCUGGCUAGAGCACUUGGCUCUUAACCAAGGGGUCGGGGGUUCAAAUCCCUCUGGGCCCG